UACGUAGGGGGCAAGCGUUGUCCGGAUUUAUUGGGCGUAAAGAGCGUGUAGGCGGCCGUACAGGUCAGCUGUGAAAACUCGAGGCUCAACCUCGAGACGUCGGUUGAAACCGUACGGCUAGAGUCCGGAAGAGGAGGGUGGAAUUCCCGGUGUAGCGGUGAAAUGCGCAGAUAUCGGGAAGAACACCCGUGGCGAAGGCGGCUCUCUGGGACGGUACUGACGCUGAGGAGCGAAAGCGUGGGGAGCGAACAGG
rnacentral:rRNA from 1 species